rnacentral:rRNA from 1 species
CUGGCUCAGGAUGAACGCUGGCGGUCUGCUUAACACAUGCAAGUCGAACGCAACCUUCGGGUUGAGUGGCGGACGGGUGAGUAACGCGUGAGAAUCUGCCUUGGGGUCGGGGACAACCACUGGAAACGGUGGCUAAUACCGGAUAAGCCUUUGGGUAAAAAAUUUAUUGCCCCAAGAGGAGCUCGCGUCUGAUUAGCUAGUUGGUGAGGUAAAAGCUCACCAAGGCAGCGAUCAGUAGCUGGUCUGAGAGGACGAUCAGCCACACUGGGACUGAGACACGGCCCGGACUCCUACGGGAGGCAGCAGUGGGGAAUUUUCCGCAAUGGGCGAAAGCCUGACGGAGCAAGACCGCGUGAGGGAGGAAGGCUCUUGGGUUGUAAACCUCUUUUCUCAGGGAAGAAGCUCUGACGGUACCUGAGGAAUCAGCCUCGGCUAACUCCGUGCCAGCAGCCGCGGUAAUACGGAGGAGGCAAGCGUUAUCCGGAAUUAUUGGGCGUAAAGCGUCCGCAGGUGGCGAUUCAAGUCUGCUGUCAAAGCACGGGGCUUAACUCCGUUAAGGCAGUGGAAACUGAAUAGCUAGAGUGCCGUAGGGGUAGAGGGAAUUCCCGGUGUAGCGGUGAAAUGCGUAGAGAUCGGGAAGAACAUCGGUGGCGAAAGCGCUCUACUGGACGGCAACUGACACUCAGGGACGAAAGCUAGGGGAGCGAAUGGGAUUAGAUACCCCAGUAGUCCUAGCUGUAAACGAUGGAUACUAGGUGUAGCUUGUAUCGACCCGAGCUGUGCCGAAGCUAACGCGUUAAGUAUCCCGNCUGGGGAGUACGCACGCAAGUGUGAAACUCAAAGGAAUUGACGGGGGCCCGCACAAGCGGUGGAGUAUGUGGUUUAAUUCGAUGCAACGCGAAGAACCUUACCAGGGCUUGACAUGUCCGGAAUCCCGGUGAAAGCUGGGAGUGCCUUCGGGA